rnacentral:rRNA from 1 species
UUAUUUCCUAGACAAAUUAGAGCCAAUACCAUCAGCUUUACCGUCUUUCCAGAAAUUGUUCCAAGUAUCGGCAACAGCUUUAUCAAUACCAUGAAAAAUAUCAACCACACCAGAAGCAGCAUCAGUGACGACAUUAGAAAUAUCCUUUGCAGUAGCGCCAAUAUGAGAAGAGCCAUACCGCUGAUUCUGCGUUUGCUGAUGAACUAAGUCAACCUCAGCACUAACCUUGC